rnacentral:rRNA from 1 species
GAUGAACGCUGGCGGCGUGCCUAAUACAUGCAAGUCGAGCGAACAGACGAGGAGCUUGCUCCUCUGACGUUAGCGGCGGACGGGUGAGUAACACGUGGAUAACCUACCUAUAAGACUGGGAUAACUUCGGGAAACCGGAGCUAAUACCGGAUAAUAUAUUGAACCGCAUGGUUCAAUAGUGAAAGACGGUUUUGCUGUCACUUAUAGAUGGAUCCGCGCCGCAUUAACUAGUUGGUAAGGUAACGGCUUACCAAGGCGACGAUGCGUAGCCGACCUGAGAGGGUGAUCGGCCACACUGGAACUGAGACACGGUCCAGACUCCUACGGGAGGCAGCAGUAGGGAAUCUUCCGCAAUGGGCGAAAGCCUGACGGAGCAACGCCGCGUGAGUGAUGAAGGUCUUCGGAUCGUAAAACUCUGUUAUUAGGGAAGAACAAAUGUGUAAGUAACUAUGCACGUCUUGACGGUACCUAAUCAGAAAGCCACGGCUAACUACGUG